rnacentral:lncRNA from 1 species
CCAAAUCUCUAAAAACUAAAUUAUUUUCCUCAAAAUUCACUCCAAGCUCCAAACCAAGGAAAAAUUUCACAACUUGAAAAUACUCACACAGCCAUCAUCAGUAGCGGCCAAGUGCCAACGAAAAUACGGUGUCAUUCCGACAAACAACAAUACAAGUCAGAAGCUGAUCGAAGUUAAAGAUAAUGAUGUACCCCCUAUCUUCAAAUCCUG